AGUCAAUAGAUACCCAGGUAGUCCACGCCCUAAACGAUGUCUACUAGUUGUUGGUGGAGUAAAAUCCAUGAGUAAACGCAGCUAACGCGUGAAGUAGACCGCCUGGGGAGUACGGUCGCAAGAUUAAAACUCAAAGGAACUGACGGGGGCCCGCACAAGCGGUGGAUUAUGUGGAUUAAUUCGAUGCAACGCGAAAAACCUUACCUGGCCUUGACAUGCCACUAACGAAGCAGAGAUGCAUUAGGUGCCCGUAAGGGAAAGUGGACACAGGUGCUGCAUGGCUGUCGUCAGCUCGUGUCGUGAGAUGUUGGGUUAAGUCCCGCAACGAGCGCAACCCUUGCCAUUAAUUGCCAUCAUUUAGUUGGGCACUUUAAUGGGACUGCCGGUGACAAACCGGAGGAAGGUGGGGAUGACGUCAAGUCCUCAUGGCCCUUAUGGCCAGGGCUUCACACGUAAUACAAUGGUCGGUACAGAGAGUUGCCAACCCGCGAGGGGAGCUAAUCUCAGAAAGCCGAUCGUAGUCCGGAUUGUUCUCU
rnacentral:rRNA from 1 species